CGCGGGGUGGACCAGUGGUAGGUCACAAGGCUCAUAACCUUGAGGCGGCCGUUCGAAUCGGCCCCCCGCAA
rnacentral:tRNA from 1 species